rnacentral:sRNA from 1 species
UGUAUCAAGCCCUUUGGAUUCGAUCCAGUCAUUACACAGUUACAUCACUUCUCUGACGCAAGCGAAACAGGGUAUGGCACAGUGUCCUACUUACUACUGGAGAAUACAGACGGAGAACGUCAUUGUUCUUUCAUCAUGGGAAAAUCUCGUGUUACACCACUCAAACAGACAACCAUUCCAAGACUGGAGUUGACGGCAGCUACAAUAGCCGUCAAAACCAACAAGAUGUUACUGACCGAGCUAGACAUGCCCAUCGAUCGCGUUUUAUUCUGGACCGACAGUAUGGCAGUAUUACGUUAUAUUCAGAACAGAACGGCAAGAUUUCAUACUUUCGUAGCUAACAGACUAGCAGUGAUACAUGAAGGAUCGCAGCCAAGCAAUUGGAGAUACAUUAACACGAAAGUCAACCCAGCUGAUUACGCAUCAAGAGGUAUAUCGGCCAACAGCCUUAUCAUGCAAGAAAACUGGAUCAAGGCCCCUAGUUUUUUAUUGGAACCAGAGGAUCAGUGGCCCAAACAUCCAAUGGAGAUCGCUGAUACAGAAUUAUUGGACAAUGACCCAGAGGUGAAAAGAGUUACCAUCAGAGCAGUCAUCGCAGAACAACAGAAUUCAGACAAUUCUACAGAGUGUGUUAAUAAGUUGAUUCAACAUUAUUCUUCGUGGUACUUGUUGAAACGAACAGUGGCAUGGAUUCUGAAAGUGCGGAAAGAAUUGUUAAGGCGUGUGAACAUGAAAAGACUCAAUUCUAGUCCAAUAUUACAAGAAUCAUAUGAUAAGAGUGUUCUAUCGCACCAAGACCUUAAAGAGGCAGAGAAGUCAAUACUGAAAUUUGUUCAACAACACGAAUUUGACACAGAAAUCAAUGCUCUUGCUUCAGGAAACUCUCAUGUGAAUCGUCGAAGUCGAAUCAGGAACUUGGAUCCAUUUUUGGAUGAUGGAAUCUUACGUGUCGGCGGUCGACUACACCAGUCAAGUAUUCCAGCAGAGAUGAAACAUCCAGUUAUUCUAUCCAAAGAUCAUCAUGUGUCAACAAUCAUUCUUAGACAAAUUCACCAAGAACUGAUGCAUAGUGGUAGAAACCAUAUGUUGGCAAAGUUAAGAGAAAAGUAUUGGAUUAUUCAUGCUCCGUCAGCUAUCAGGAAGCUGAUAUCAAGAUGUGUUACAUGUAGACGAUUCAAGUCGAAAGUUGAAGAGCAGAAGAUGGCAAAUCUACCAAAGGAUCGUACCGGUCCAGAUGAACCACCAUUUAGCAGAGUAGGAGUCGAUUACUUUGGACCAUUCGAAGUAAAACAAAAGAGAAGUCGUGUGAAACGUUAUGGCGUAAUAUUCACCUGCUUGGCAAGUCGAGCUGUACAUUUGGAAGUAGCAGCUUCAUUGGACACUGAUUCUUACAUAAAUGCCUUGCGACGCUUUAUUGCCAGAAGGGGACAAGUAAAGAAGAUACGUUCUGAUAAUGGAACUAAUUUUGUUGGUGCCGAACGUGAACUUGCCCGAUCCAUACAGGAAUGGAAUCAACACCAGAUUCAAAAUUCAAUGUUACAGAAGAAUGUAGACUGGCAAUUUAACCCACCAGCUGGAUCACAUCAUGGUGGAGUGUGGGAAAGAAUCAUUCGAAUUAUUCGCAAGGCCAUGAACAGCGUUCUAAGGGAACAGACCUUGGACGACGAAGGACUUAAUACCCUGAUGUGUGAAAUCGAAUAUAUGAUCAAUGAUCGACCAAUCACGAAGAAUACAGAUCACCACUCUGAUUUGGAACCACUUACACCAAACCAUUUGUUCUUAAUGAAGCGGAAGCCGAACCUGCCUCCAGGAGUUUUUGAUAAGGACGACAUCUAUCACAGGAGACGGUGGAGACAAGUUCAAUAUAUGGCAAACCUGUUUUGGCAUAGAUGGGUACGGGAAUACCUACCGCUUUUACAAGAAAGACAGAAGUGGCACGAAAUCAAACGGAACUUGCAAAUUGGUGAUGUUGUGUUAAUAGUCGAUUCUAAUUCUCCGAGAAACUCGUGGCCUAUGGGCAUUAUUUGUGAAACUAUACCGGACUGCAACGGACUUGUGCGACAAGUUAAAGUUAAAACUGCGACAAAUAUUCUGAUCCGCCCCGUUGAUAAACUCUGCCGGAUUCUAGAAGGAGAUUGUUAGAACUGUUUGAUUAUUACGAACUUGUGCAAAUUUCUGUAUUAUUAUUUGUGAUCAUUGAAUGUUUGUUCAUUGUUGACAUUUUCUAGGAACAAUUGCUAGUGAAGACACAAAUUUGAUAAAAAACUAGGUUGUUUGUAACUUAAUGAUGUAGAGUAUUUUCGACGUAAUUGUGUCAUAUUCAUUCCACAAUUAGGGGGCUGGGUUGUUACCGCCAAUACUGCAAUUAGUCAUAUCUAUGCUGGUACUGCAGUUAGUCAUAACUGAUCUGACGUCAUCAGUUUUUGAGCUCAAUAUUUUUGUGUGUAGAGCCCGUGAACUUGUGUGAGGCGGGCUCAUGUCUUCAAUCAUUUUGUACUGAAUGUACUUUUCUAUGGAGGAAACUACUUAAUUGGUGAGUGUUAUGAUAUAUGUAUAUUGUUAGAAUGUUUUCCAAUGCAUAUGUACAUUGUGCAGUAGAAUUAUAUUACAGUACAUCUGAUAAUUCUGAUAAUUCUCAUACUUAAGUGUAGGUAUAAAGUUACUAUUUAUGCAUAUGCAUGGAUAUUUCAAGGUCAUUAUUAAUGAUAUAUUGAUAAAGCUAUAUAGAGGUACUUAUAUGUAAUUAUGAGGCAUGUGUGCAACUUCGCUGGAUUAUGUUAGGUUUAUAAUUGAUAUAUUACGGGAGGUAACUCCAUUUGCAACAUGUAUGAUAUCAUUUGGUUGUCUAGAGUUAUGCCUCUUUGUUUACAUUUUUCUGUCGCCAAACUUUGCUAGAGCAUUUCAGAUUUAUAUAUCUAGAUGCAUAUCUUAUUGUGACUAAUUGAAUUAGGUUAUACUGAUACAUCAGAUAGUCAUACGUUUCAUCAUUGUCAACCAUAUAUUUACUAGGAUGAAUUUGUAUGUGUGUGUUUUUUGAAUUAGUUUAUUUACAAUAUUUUUUCUCUAUUUUUUGUAGUAAAUCGUCAUUCGUCAUUCGUCAUACAUCCUGUUUUGUCACCCUCCAAAAUAAAAUAAAGACGCAUUUACAAAAGU